GAUCCUGGCUCAGGAUGAACGCUGGCGGCGUGCUUAACACAUGCAAGUCGAACGAAGCACUUAAGAUUGAUUCUUCGGAUGACGUCUUUUGUGACUUAGUGGCGGACGGGUGAGUAACGCGUGGGUAAUCUGCCUCACACAGGGGGAUAAACAGUUAGAAAUGACUGCUAAUACCGCAUAACCCGAUAGGAUCGCAUGAUCCAGACGGAAAAGAUUUAUCGGUGUGAGAUGGACCCGCG
rnacentral:rRNA from 1 species